GAUGAAGAACGUAGCAAAAUGCGAUACUUGGUGUGAAUUGCAGAAUCCCGUGAACCAUCGAGUUUUUGAACGCAAGUUGCGCCCGAAGCCAUUAGGCCGAGGGCACGCCUGCCUGGGCGUCACACGUCGUUGCCCCCCCAUCUACUCCUUCGGGAUUGCGGGGGGUGGAUGAUGGCCUCCCGUGCGCCUCGCCGCGCGGUUGGCAUAAAUGCCAAGUCCUCGGCGACGCACGCCACGACAAUCGGUGGUUGCGAAACCUCGGUUGCCCGUCGUGUGCGGUCGUCGCGCAUCGAGGGCUCGAAAAAAUUGCCGGGUUCCGGCUCGGCUUUCAACGCGACCCCAGGUCAGGCGGGGUUACCCGCUGAAUUUAAGCAUAUCAAUAAGCGGAGGA
rnacentral:misc_RNA from 1 species